GAGUGCAGUGCUUCAGCUAGUUUCGAUGAUUGGAUGUUUGAACAUCAUGAGGCAUUAGAUGCUCCUCUACAUGGUCUCAAUGUGUUGAUGCCUCUCCCUUUUGAAACAAGCCCACAAUGAGUGGUCCCCUACUUGGCACUUUUCAAUAUGCUAUUGUUGAUUCCCGAGUUGAAGUUAAGGUCAGUUCUACCGAAGAAGACUGAGGUCAGUUUUGAUGGGGUGGUCAUCCAAAGAAAGAGGUCAUCCAAAGAAAGACUAGACCUGUAAAAAAGAAGUCCCUUACUCUCAAGUCGGCAAAGGAUUAGAGCACAGUGGAAGAGAGAGAGAGAAAGAGCAUAAGAGGACUUUUUUUUACCUUACCUUGGGUCCCCUACUUGCCCCAAUUUAUAGAGUGGGGGCUGGAGGCUGUUCCUGUGAUGUUCGAUGAUCAUAUUUGUGAAGAUCUUGCUUUGCAUGCCAAACAUGAUCAAAGUGAGCUAUCAUCCGAUAAUUUUAUGCAUCUUAUCAGUGUUAUCACAAUCUAGUACCAAUUUAUGUGCAACCAUGAUUGGAAAUCAUGGAUGGUUGAGAUUUUGAUUUCACCUUGUCUAGGAUCGAGAUAAAUAGGUUGGCAAUACUCAAGG
rnacentral:lncRNA from 1 species